UACGAAGGGGGCUAGCGUUGCUCGGAAUCACUGGGCGUAAAGCGCACGUAGGCGGCCAACUAAGUCAGACGUGAAAUCCCUCGGCUUAACCGGGGAACUGCGUCUGAUACUGGAUGGCUUGAGAUUGGGAGAGGGAUGCGGAAUUCCAGGUGUAGCGGUGAAAUGCGUAGAUAUCUGGAGGAACACUGGUGGCGAAGGCGACGUCCUGGACCGGCAUUGACGCUGAGGCGCGAAAGCCAGGGGAGCCAAAGCGGG
rnacentral:rRNA from 1 species